rnacentral:lncRNA from 1 species
AAAAUUCUUAUGCUUGAGCUUGAUGAAGUCCUCAGCUUCAGCAUCAAUAUUAUUCUCUGCAUCUACCUUGACACCAGGAUGAGCAUUUCCGCGAUUUGCACAUUCAUAUUUCAGCAGUAGUUUCCUCCUUGUAGGAGCCUCAAAUCCGCUAGAUGUCAGGUAAAUGCUUGAAUAUGGAGGAGCAUCAAUCAGUUUGUGUGGUGUUUCUAACAGUUUCUGAUGACCACUGCCAUUGUGGUGGUGGUGCUUGUGGUCGAAAUACGAGGUUAUGAAAGUCAUGUUUCAAGAGUUAAGGGCACAAAACAAUAAAGAUGAUGAAUGAGUUUGUAAGGAGAUGUAUAUAAAGUACAAUGAUAAGGAAGUUUUCAUGAUUGGACAAUCAAGAGAAGUUCAGACUUCACCUUUCUUCUGAUUUAAACUCAGGAGAAUCUCCUUUUAGCUUUUAUUUAGGCAGCAUGUGCAUUUUGCGCAUGACAUUUUUGAGUAAUCUAUCUUUAAUAUAAUACCCAACUCAUAUUUGACACAACUUUAAUGACCAAGAACAAGGUUCAUUCAGUUCAAUCCGAACAAACCAUCAAAUCUCAAACUUGAAAAAGCAAUUUAUUUAUACGCCAAUAUUCCUAUUCGACCGCGUUUUCAACAUUUGAAUUAUAUAGGCAUUGAAACUUUGCAUUAAUAAAUAUGUGAUAUUGACACUAUGUAAGGCAGCUGGUCCAGAUCACACGAAUAAUACUAGCAAACGUUCAGCGGAAAAAAAACAUUGAAGGUGAAAAACCUAGAAUGAGGCAAUUUUCCGCUGAAUGAUACUGUAGCAACCUUGUACAUUGUUUCCCCCCGACAUAUGCUACUAACAUAUGUAUGUCAGAUAUCCGGACCCAAAAUACAAAUACCAAUAGAAACCUUUACUGCAUAAAAAGCGACCAAAUUUGAAAGCAAGAGUUUCAGUUUAGUUGAUUCAGUUUAACUGAAAUUUCAGAACAAAUCUAAUAUAUAUCAUUUAAUAGCACAUUUAUGAUUCACUAUUGUUAAAUUGAAAACAGAGUAAAGUGAUGAGGUAAUUUGCUUGAGUAGCACUCUCUAAUGUUAAGACAUUGCAGGAGUGUUUUCUAAUCUAAUAUAUUACAGCAAGUUCUGAAUCUUAAAAUGUGAGACAAGUUACUGGAAACUUGAAAGCAUGCUCUUACUGCAACACAAUCGAAAUAUCACUACAAAUAAGCUCCAGCAAAAACCAGAUGUUCCACAACAAACUCAUCCAAAACCUUCAAUACCUUCAAAACAAUCAAAUGGCAUCAGACAGUGAUUCAACUGUUAUAGUUGUGGUAUUUGUGUCACUAGGGGGCUUUUGCUUCCUGGCGUUCGUCUUGUUUGCCUUGUGUUGCUUUAUCAAGUACCGGAAGAAGGCAUCUCAAGAAGCUGACAAUGUACGUGUAGAUGAACAUAUGAAGAUUAAGGAAGACAUCGUACAAGGACCUCGGGGAACAGAAGUUGUGAUGCUAACAAUUGAGGAUGAUGUUCAUAUCGAAGAAGAGAUCAGGAAAAAUGAAAAUUUUGGUGCAGGAAUGCAUGCAAAAUCUGCAGAUCAAAUUGUUGCAGAAACAUCUUCUCGUUCAGGCGAUCAACAGGCAGAGCACAAGGUUUAACUCUACGUGAAACACUGAAACAGACACUGUGGUAAAUAUUAUAUUUUACGCAAUUACUCCUUGUACUCAUAAAAUUCGUUGUACAAUGUAAAUGUUUGUGCAGCUGUGAAAUCAAUAAACGGUAUAGAUAAAAUAAGCGUUAAACAAAUUUAUUUAGAAUUAUAUUCUCAAUUAUAGAAUGUAAUUAGCACACAUUCAAGCCAAAGGCUUGGAAGAAAUUACAAAGAUUAAAAUAAAACACACUAGCUCAAAGGAAGAAACAGCAAGUAUACAAAUAAUAUAUAACAUGAUCUAGGCUUGAAUGUCAGUGAAUGCCAGUUAACAUUAAGCACCGCGUAGAAAAUUCUUAUGCUUGAGCUUAAUGAAAUCUUCAGCUUCAGCAUCAAUAUUAUUCUCUACCGUGACACCAGGAUGAGCAUUUCCGCGAUUUGCACAUUCAUAUUUCAGCAGUAGGUUCCUCCUUGUAGGAGCCUCAAAUCCACGAGACGUCAUGUAAAUGCUUGAAUAAGGAGGAGCAUCAACCAGUUUGUGCGGUGUUUCUAACAGUUUCUGAUGACCACUGCCAUUGUGGUCGAAAUACGAGGUUAUGAAAGUCAUGUUUCAAGAGUUAAGGGCACAAAACAAUAAGGAUAUGAAU